rnacentral:misc_RNA from 1 species
GAUGAAGAACGCAGCGAAAUGCGAUAAGUAAUGUGAAUUGCAGAAUUCAGUGAAUCAUCGAGUCUUUGAACGCACAUUGCGCCCGCCAGCAUUCUGGCGGGCAUGCCUGUUCGAGCGUCAUUUCAACCCUCGAGCCCCCCCGGGGGCCUCGGUGUUGGGGGACGGCACACCAGCCGCCCCCGAAAUGCAGUGGCGACCCCGCCGCAGCCUCCCCUGCGUAGUAGCACACACCUCGCACCGGAGCGCGGAGGCGGUCACGCCGUAAAACGCCCAACUUUCUUAGAGUUGACCUCGGAUCAGGUAGGAAUACCCGCUGAACUUAAGCAUAUCAAUAAGCGGAGGA